UACGGAGGGGACUAGCGUUGUUCGGAAUUACUGGGCGUAAAGGGCGCGUAGGCGGCCUGCUAAGUCGGAUGUGAAAUCCCUCGGCUCAACCGAGGAACUGCAUCCGAUACUGGCGGGCUUGAAUCCGGGAGAGGGAUGUAGAAUUCCAGGUGUAGCGGUGAAAUGCGUAGAUAUCUGGAGGAACACCGGUGGCGAAGGCGGCAUCCUGGACCGGUAUUGACGCUGAGGCGCGAAAGCUAGGGGAGCAAACGGG
rnacentral:rRNA from 1 species